rnacentral:lncRNA from 1 species
GUAUUUCAAAGGUAUUUAAUGUCAAAGGGAAAAUACCACAUGCAAAUUAUGAAAUUUCCCGUUGUGGGACUAAUAAAUGUAUCAUGUUAUUCAAACAAUAUUUUGUACAGAUACCAUUUACAAUAAUGUAUGACAUUUAAACAUGAUAUUUAGAUUGUGGUAAAUAGCAAAGCAAUAUAAAAUAAAAAAGGAAAACGAAAAGGAAACCAUUCAAGUAACUUUAUAUUAUGAACUGAAGAGUAAGGCAAAGUAUAAAUGAAAAGCAUACAAGCAUUAAUGUAUAUAAUAAACCCAACAAUCAUAUGACCCCCUAUGAGCAAGCACUUUGGCGACAGUGGGAAGGAAAAACUCCCUUUGACAGGAAGAAACCUCCGGCAGAACCAGGCUCAGGGAGGGCGGCCAUCUGCCGCGACCGGUUGGGGAGAUGUAAACAAAUCCAAAACUGUCCACAGAGCUACAGGGGGCACACUGGGAUCGCAACAGCAGCCAUAGAGCUACAGGGGGCACACUGGGAUCGCAACAGCAGCCAUAGAGGGAAACAGAUUAGGAUGUUCUUCCCAGUACUGAAGUGGGUCGGCUUUUCUUAUGUGUGCGUUUUUCUCUGAGAGGUAGGUCGGCUUUUCUUAUGUGUGCGUUUUUCUCUGAGAGGUAGGUCUCCACUUUAGUUUCUGUUGAUGAGGCACUCACGGAUACUUCUGGAUAAGGGUCAUUUGGAAGCAAGUGGUUGGCUGACUUUGCGAAAACAGCUAGAAACAGAUAAAGGAAAACACAAUUUAAAACAAUAAAACAAGAGACAUCACAAAGCGCAGCUCUUCAGUUAGCGAAAUGGCAAGUAAUGAAGUUCUAAAAAAUAAUUGGAAAAACAAAUCUAACUUUAGAACUAAAUGACCCAAAACUAUAUUAAAAAGGUAGUAAAAAAAGAAAUUUGCUUAAUACUGGUGUCUUUGGAUGGGGUAAGUUGCUAUGUAGGUAAAACCACACGUGGCUGUAAUUUGGUGGCCUGUAUACAGUUCCAAUCCAAGCAUGUAGUUGGUUUAAAUGGGUUUAAUACUGGUGUCUUUUGAUCACUUGACUGUAUAUAUAUAAACCUGUUGAACCAAAAGGUGCAUUUUAAUUUCACUAUACCUGCCCAUCCUUGUAGCCGGUCUCUACUAGCGUGGCACAGUUUCAAGAUCAGUGUAGGGCUUCUCACUGCCUUCACUGGACAGAACACAUCUGAGGAGUUAUGAAUGAAUGGAUGACUUAAUUAAUGGAUGAGAUUAUAGUUUGUUUCAAACAAUAUCAAAUGUUACAAUAUAAAGUAGAAACAAAAAUACAAUUACCUGUUAUGGCAGGGAUCCCAUCAGGUGCAGUUGCAGUCUCUCUGUUCACGUUUCUGGUCAGCUCUUCAAUGGAUGAGAGCAGUCUUAUUAUCAGCUCCCACUGGUGAGCUGUCCUUGUUGGUGGUAGAGUGUGCUCAGUUGCAAAGACACUAAGAUCACUUGGCAAGUCCAUAUCCCUCACAACCUUGCAGUCAUUUUGUGUUAGUGAAUUACACAAUAAAUGGGGUUGUGAUAACUGUGAUAUGUAUUCAGAACACCUGAUUGGAGGCAGGCGUUGGCUGUGAUAUGUAAAGGUGAUCAAUCAAUGUGUGUUUUUCGGUAGUUGCAGCAGUAAUAAGUUGUGCAUAUCCUCUUGACUGAAACAGUUCUUGGAUGGGUUUUUUUCCUCUGCUCAUAAGGUCCUCAUUGAAGUCUCCACAAACAAUAAUUGGUUGGCAAUUCAUCAUUUCCAAUGAGUCCAAAAGACAUUGCAUUUGUGGUAAAAACCUCACGUGGCUGUAAUUUGGUGGCCUGUAUACAGUUGCUAUCAAAGCUGUGACUGGCGAUUCAACCUUGAUAACAACAAAUUCAAGGUCAGUCACAUUUUGCAGGUAUUUUCGAGACUCUGCUGUAAGAACUGUUUUGUAGUACAUUGCAACUCCACCGCCAUUUACCUUUGCCAUGUCUGUAUGGUUUGUGUAAGAGACGUGUCUGUUGCGUGUGGCCAUGUUGUACUGUUCGAGCUGGAAGCGGGGAGAAACUGAUGAUCCAGACAAGUGAGUUUCUGUUAUGCAUAAAACAUCAGCAAGGCUGAGUUCAUGGUGGCAUCUCAUGUCCUCCAUGUGAGUUGGGAGACCUUGUGCAUUGUGAUGGAUAAUUGUCAUCGUGGGGACUGUGGGAACAACUGAUUUUAAGAAUUGCAACAGUGGUCUUGC